AUUGAACGCUAGCGGCAGGCCUAACACAUGCAAGUCGAGCGGGGAGAUGUAGCUUGCUACAUUUCCUAGCGGCGGACGGGUGAGUAAUGCUUAGGAAUCUGCCUAUUAGUGGGGGACAACAUUCCGAAAGGAAUGCUAAUACCGCAUACGCCCUACGGGGGAAAGCAGGGGACCUUCGGACCUUGCGCUAAUAGAUGAGCCUAAGUCAGAUUAGCUAGUUGGGGGGGUAAAGGCCUACCAAGGCGACGAUCUGUAGCGGGUCUGAGAGGAUGAUCCGCCACACUGGGACUGAGACACGGCCCAGACUCCUACGGGAGGCAGCAGUGGGGAAUAUUGGACAAUGGGCGAAAGCCUGAUCCAGCCAUGCCGCGUGUGUGAAGAAGGCCUUUUGGUUGUAAAGCACUUUAAGCGAGGAGGAGGCUACUUGGAUUAAUACUCUAGGAUAGUGGACGUUACUCGCAGAAUAAGCACCGGCUAACUCUGUGCCAGCCGCCGCAGUAA
rnacentral:rRNA from 1 species